GAAAGACGAACUUCUGCGAAAGCAUUUGCCAAGGAUGUUUUCAUUAAUCAAGAACGAAAGUUGGGGGCUCGAAGACGAUCAGAUACCGUCCUAGUCUCAACCAUAAACGAUGCCGACUAGGGAUUGGCGGAUGUUAAUUCGAUGACUUCGCCAGCACCUUAUGAGAAAUCAAAGUUUUUGGGUUCCGGGGGGAGUAUGGUCGCAAGGCUGAAACUUAAAGGAAUUGACGGAAGGGCACCACCAGGAGUGGAGCCUGCGGCUUAAUUUGACUCAACACGGGGAAACUUACCAGGUCCAGACAUAGUAAGGAUUGACAGAUUGAGAGCUCUUUCUUGAUUCUAU
rnacentral:rRNA from 1 species